rnacentral:rRNA from 1 species
GAUCCUGGCUCAGGACGAACGCUGGCGGCGUGCCUAACACAUGCAAGUCGAACGGAACUUCUUUAAUUGAUUUCUUCGGAAUGAUUUUGAUUAAGUUUAGUGGCGGACGGGUGAGUAACGCGUGAGUAACCUGCCUCUGAGAGGGGAAUAACAUUCUGAAAAGAAUGCUAAUACCGCAUAACAUAUAUUUAUCGCAUGGUAGAUAUAUCAAAGAUUUAUCGCUUAGAGAUGGACUCGCGUCCG